rnacentral:rRNA from 1 species
UGGGGAAUAUUGGACAAUGGGCGCAAGCCUGAUCCAGCCAUGCCGCGUGAGUGAUGAAGGUCUUAGGAUUGUAAAGCUCUUUCACCGGAGAAGAUAAUGACGGUAUCCGGAGAAGAAGCCCCGGCUAACUUCGUGCCAGCAGCCGCGGUAAUACGAAGGGGGCUAGCGUUGUUCGGAAUUACUGGGCGUAAAGCGCACGUAGGCGGAUAUUUAAGUCAGGGGUGAAAUCCCAGAGCUCAACUCUGGAACUGCCUUUGAUACUGGGUAUCUUGAGUAUGGAAGAGGUAAGUGGAAUUGCGAGUGUAGAGGUGAAAUUCGUAGAUAUUCGCAGGAACACCAGUGGCGAAGGCGGCUUACUGGUCCAUUACUGACGCUGAGGUGCGAAAGCGUGGGGAGCAAACAG